GACGAACGCUGGCGGCGUGCUUAACACAUGCAAGUCGAACGGAAAGACCCUGCUUUUGUGGGGUGCUCGAGUGGCGAACGGGUGAGUAACACGUGAGUAACCUGCCCUUGACUUUGGGAUAACUUCAGGAAACUGGGGCUAAUACCGGAUAGGAGCUCCUGCUGCAUGGUGGGGGUUGGAAAGUUUCGGCGGUUGGGGAUGGACUCGCGGCUUAUCAGCUUGUUGGUGGGGUAGUGGCUUACCAACGCUUUGACGGGUAGCCGGCCUGAGAGGGUGACCGGCCACAUUGGGCCUGAGAGACGGCCCAGACUCCUACGGGAGGCAGCAGUGGGGAAUAUUGCACAAUGGGCGCAAGCCUGAUGCAGCAACGCCGCGUGCGUGAUGACGUCCUUCGGGUUGUAAACCGCUUUCGCCUGUGACGAAGCGUGAGUGACGGUAAUGGGUAAAGAAGCACCGGCUAACUACGUG
rnacentral:rRNA from 1 species